AAGAAAACGAGAAGGGACGGACAAAACACAAACUUCCAUGUUGGAAGUUUGUGUUUUGUCCGUCCCUUCUCGUUUUCUU
rnacentral:pre_miRNA from 1 species